rnacentral:misc_RNA from 1 species
GGUUCGAUUAUGGCUCAAGAACUGAACGCUGGCAGGAUCACUUCCCGCAUGCAAGUCGAACGGCAGCACGGACUUCGGUCUGGUGGCGAGUGGCGAACGGGUGAGUAAUGUAUCGGAACGUGCCUGAUAGCGGGGGAUAACUACGCGAAAGCGUAGCUAAUACCGCAUACGCCCUUCGGGGAAAAGCGGGGACCUUCGGGCCUCGCACUAUUAAACGGCCGAUAUCGGAUUAGCUAGUUGGUGGAGUAACGGCUCACCAAGGCGACGGUCCGUAGCUGGUUUGAGAGGACGACCAGCCACACUGGGACGGAACACGGCCCAGACUCCUGCGGGAGGCAGCAGUGGGGAAUUUUGGACAAUGGGGGAACCCUGAUCCAGCCAUCCCGCGUGUGCGAUGAAGGCCUUCGGGUUGUAAAGCACUUUUGGCAGGAAAGAAACGGCACGGGAUAAUACCCCGUGCAACUGACGGUACCUGCAGAAUAAGCACCGGCUAACUACGUGCCAGUAGCCGCGGUAAUACGUAGAGGGUGCAAGCGUUAAUCGGAAUUACUGGGCGUAGAGCGUGCACAGGCGGUUCGGAAAGAAGAUGUGAAAUCAGAGCUUAACUUUGGGGCAUUUUUAACUACCGAGCUAGAGUGUGUGUCAGGGAGUGGAAUUCCGCGUGUAGCAGUGAAAUGCGUAGAUAUGCGAGAGGAACACCGAUGGCGAAGGCAGCCUCCUGGUAACACUGACGCUCAUGCACGAAAGCGUGGGGAGCAAACAGGAUUAGAUGCCCUGGUAGUCCGCCUAAACGAUGUCAACUAGCUGUUGGGGCCUUCGGGCCUUGGUAGCGCAGCUAACGCGUGAAGUUGACCGCCUGGGAAAUACGGUCGCAAGAUUAAAACUCAAAAGGAAUUGACGAAGGCCCGCACAAGCGGUGGAUGAUGUGGAUUAAUUCGAUGCAACGCGAAAAACCUUACCUACCUCGACAUGUCUGGAAUCCCAAAGAAGAGAUUUGGGAGUGCUCGCAAAGAGGAGCGGAACACAGGUGCUGCAUGGCUGUCGUCAGCUCGUGUCGUGAGAUGUUGGGUUAAGUCCCGCAACGAGCGCAACCCUUGUCAUUAGUUGCUACGAAGGGCACUCCGUGGCAGGUUGCGCUCUGGCGACGAGCUGACGACAACCAGCGCACUCCCAAAUAUGCUCGGAUUCCAAUGUCGGGUAGUAGGUUUUUUCGCGUUUGCCAUCGGACAAUCCCGCAUCAUCCGCGCUUCCCAUCGUCAGUUCAGCGCGAGUUUUAAUCUUGCGACCGUACUCCCCCGGGCGGUCGGCUUUCGCGUUAUAACGAGUUGACAUCGUUUAGGGCGUGGACUACCGGGGUAAUCUAAUCCUGUUUGCUCCCCGCGCUUUUCGUCGCAUGAGCGUGUGUUAUCCCGGGAGCGCGCUAAAGCCGGUGUUCACUCCCGCAUAUCUGUUUCGCCUUUGCGCGCACUCUAAUGGUGAUUAAAAAUGCAGUUAUGAGUUUCGCAUCUUUCUUUGACCGCCACCCAGCUAAUUCCGAUUAGCUGCUGCACUACAUAUUGCCCGGCUGCGCUGAGCAGCCGGUUAGCAACAGGCACACCGUCAGUUGACCGCACGGGGCCCGUGCCAUUUCUUUCACCGCCUUCAUCACGCGUAACUGGAUCAGGAGUUCCCCCAUUGUCAGAACCCGCCUUUGCCGCCCCCGUGGACCGCCGUACUGUCAGUCCCGAGUGUGGCCUGAGUCAGAUCGUCGCCUUGGUGAGCCGUUACACCCCACCAACUAAGUAAUCCUCGGCCUGUGCGAGGCCCGAAGAUUAGCUACGCUUUCGCGUAGUUAUCCCCCAUCAGGCGGUCUCACCCGUUCUCGCCGCCAGGCGUGUGAUAUGGAGAUCCGCCAGCGUUCCCUGAGGAAAAUAAUCGAACCCUCUGUUAAC